UACGUAGGGGGGCAAAGCGUUUGUCCGGAUUUAUUGGGCGUAAAGAGCGUGUAGGCGGCUAGGUAGGUCCGUUGUGAAAACUCGAGCUCAACCUCGAGACGCCGGUGGAAACCAUCUAGCUAGAGUCCGGAAGAGGAGAGUGGAAUUCCUGGUGUAGCGGUGAAAUGCGCAGAUAUCAGGAAGAACACCCCGUGGCGAAGGCGGCUCUCUGGAACGGUACUGACGCUGAGACGCGAAAGCGUGGGGAGCGAACAGG
rnacentral:rRNA from 1 species